CCAAACAACAGGAUAGGCUUUGGAGAAUCAAAGAUGAGUAAAUAAUAUCCCUCAAGAGGUUUCCAUGCCUUUGCUGAGGAUACGAGCAAUAUAUGAAGAUAAUGCUUCAUUUGUUUGAACAAAUAUCUACCAGUAUAUUUGAUGUCCUCUACCUCAGACUUCACGUCUCUCAUGUCACCAAAAACUAGGCCAACAGAAACUAGAAAAGGAGGGAGAAGAAAAAUCUUAGUUCAUUCUAUGAGGGAAGAACAAGUCUCAGGAUAUGAAGUUCAUUCGUCUGUGACCAAGCUGAAUCGGGAAGAGGUACCAGAUAAGUCCUUAGCACUAGAUCACAGAUAACAGAGGGCCAUAGACUAUCCCUGGAUACUAAGCAAAUUCUCUCCACAGUCAGAUUUCUGCACUGCACUUGAUAAAUAAAUAUGCAAUUGUU